UUGUGAUGAUGGUGUGUGUGUGGUUUCUCUGUUAGUCAGUAUUUGAAGACUCAGGCUUGUUUCUGUGGUCGAAAUGCCAGGAUGUCAGCUUGUCUCGUAAUUCUGGUUCACAUGUCACAAAUAACAUCACAUUGCCCGCGCAUCUUCAACCACAUCCUUUGUUUAUUAGCUGAUGAAUCUUACAUCACAUUUUAACACUAAAUAUACAAUAUUUUUUAGAUGAGCACAUAAUGCUAUUUAACUGAAAGCAACUAUCAAACAAUGAUAUCAUGUGUUAUCAUAAGUUUUUUUAGUUCCAGCUUGUUUCCUGCAGACUCUUCACAAACUCUUUUUAUCCUCUCAGGCUCUGGAGAGAGUGUCUGCUGGAGGAGGGUUGAAAGUCACUUUGGCACCAUGUAUAGAGGAUCUUAUCCUCCUUGAACAAACUUUGCUACUUGAAAGAGCAGCUUUGUGGACAUCCAGGCCCUGGCAGUUCUGUGUGAGAAAGAGAGGAAGAAGGAAACAAAGAAAAAAACACAAUUUUCUUUAUCAGGCAUCAGUGCUUUAUAGGGAACUGCAUGGGAAAAGAAGGAGAGUGAGGCCGAAGGGAAUUGGAAGGAAUGAGAGGAGCGAUUCAUCUUUUCAUCAGUGAUUCAAAGUGACUAACAGGAUGCACAGAUGGAAAAUACUCUGUUAUUAUUUCUCUCUCUUUCAAUCUCGUCUCUAUUUCUCCCUCGCACUCAAACAUAUGCCAAUCUCAUCUAGAAUGAUGCAUGAUGAGCUCCAUCUGAAAAUAAUCAGCUUCUUUUUUGUCUCACUGUCUGAAGUGUUAACAGGAUUUUAGUAAAUAAAUCUUUUUUUUUUUUCAGUUGUGGAUGAAAAUGUAAACAAGUUUUUGUAAUGUGUUUCCUAUCACAAAUUGGACAGCAAUGUAAAAGGUUUCAGAUUAAAAUGUUUUGCGCUGGAAAACAUUUUCCCAUAAUAUCCUCACUUCCUUAUUUGAGUCAGGAUGCAUGCAAACUAUAACAAAAUCUCUAAUUAGACCAGCAGCAUUUUACAUGACAAAUUUUUUAUACAUAUAACAUAUGGAAGGCAGAACUAAAACGACACUUGUAUUAUAAAUUUAAUUUAGUGCAGCUAUUCAAUAUUCUAUGGGACAACAGGUUGGGAACAGAUUUUGAGAAAUUCAGCAUUACAUCACUUGAAUGGAUCCUCUGCAGUGAAUGGGUGCCGUCAGAAUGUGAAUUCAAACAGCUGAUGAAAACAUCACAAUAAUCCACAAAUUGACAUCUAUUCUGUCUGACUGUGUAUCUGUAUUUAUAAGUUCAGAGCUUGUGUUGAUCCCUGAAAACAGCAGUUGUCCUCCAGUGGGGUUGAUGGUCAAGGGACAACAGCUUGAGGUCAGCGGGGUGGAACAGGAGUGGGUUGACUACACUGGGGUACAAAUAAUCUCCUCUGUCUCUCGUUCCUGUGUGUGACUCACACAGAUUCACACAUGCACUGAACAGGUUUUGCCCCAUGCUGCUCCUCUGUGGGGAUUUUAAGAGAUCCACGUGCAAAAAGCACAACUCACCACAGUUUUCUAGGGUCUACGAGCCUCCGGGACGUGAUCUGCUGCUGGAACAUUUGCUGAUUAUUUCAUCUGUGGACAUCUGAUCUGAUUUUGAGCUGGAAUUUCCCGCUGAUUCAGUGCUUAUGGACAGAUGUUGGUGGAACUGGUUAACAAUUGAACUAGUCUGGAGGUAGAGAAUGAAGAUAGAGAGAGCAUCUGUGAAGUUCUGCUUUGGACAGAAAAGAGUCUUAAAAGUGUUAAAGAAUAGUACAUUGCACAAACACAGAAGAAAUGGUGUUUGUAACAUGCUGGAUUGUAUUCUUCUGAAAGCACUGAUCUUGUUGUAUUUAGGUGAUAUUUUUAUCCCCCAACGGAAGUGUCUUUUUCUAUGACUUUUAAAAAGAGUUGAGAUUGUCGUUAUGCUGAUAUUUAAUAUGCCUCUUAAUUUAUUGUUGAUAAAUGAAAAAUUUGUCACCUACAGUGGUUGUUAAUGAAACUUAAAUUCUCAGUAUCUCUCAUCUCUCAGACCUCAAUGUGUUAUGAAGCACUAUUAUUUUGCUUUGUCUAAUUUCAGGCUUUUUAACCAGAACAGUUUACUACAAUAAAAAUGUAUGCUUGACCAGAAAUAAAGUAAUUAAGAAUUUUAUUAUAAGAAAAACAUAAAUACUGUAUUUCUGUUCCAGUAAGCGUUCAAAAUGUAGACACUCUCUACUGCUAUAACACGAGCACAAGACUCUUAUCAGCUCGUUGCUGGCAUCUAUUGAAAGACUAACGCAUUGCAGGAUGAAAUGCACCUUGCAGUCAUUAGAAUAGUUUUUUUGCUUCCAUCUUGUGGUUGAAAAACACAUUGCUACAUUCAACGGACAAGUCCAUGUUCUUUAAUACUUGCUGCAGUGAAUGAAAGCGGUUUAUUUACAAUAAGACAUAGAUUUUUGUACUAUUAUUCUAAUAAUAGAAUGAAAUUCUUGAAUGAAAAAUGUUUAAAAUAAUAAUAAUAAUAAUAAUGCCAGAUUAAAUUACAGGAUUGCAAAUUUGGGAGUU